UACGUAGGGUGCGAGCGUUAAUCGGAAUUACUGGGCGUAAAGCGUGCGCAGGCGGUUUUGUGAGCCAGAUGUGAAAGCCCCGGGCUUUAACCUGGGAAUGGCAUUUGGGACUGCAAGGCUUGAGUGCGGCAGAGGAGACUGGAAUUCCUGGUGUAGCAGUGAAAUGCGUAGAUAUCAGGAGGAAUACCGAUGGCGAAGGCAGGUCUCUGGGCUGACACUGACGCUCAUGCACGAAAGCGUGGGGAGCAAACAGG
rnacentral:rRNA from 1 species